rnacentral:misc_RNA from 1 species
GAGAUUAAGUAUUUUGGUGCCAUUGCAAAGAAGGUGAAUAGAAUUAAUCUAGUAGAAAGCUGAAAAUUGCAAUUUAUGUAAAUGAAAGACAGUGUUCAGGACUUGAGUAGCAAAGGUAAGGUAUUUGUUCUUUCAAGGAAAUUAAUAGUUAUUUUGAAUUAUACUAGCCGUCUGGAAUGGAAAAUAAUCUGAAAUGAAUAAAAUUAUUGUAGGUAUUUUGAACUGUACUGGGUGUCUGGAAUGGAAACUGGAAAGCAAUCUGAAAUGGAUUAACAGUGGGUCUGGAAAAAAUUAAGAACCUAUAAAAAGGCAAGAAAUGGAUAAAAAGGCAACAAAAAGGGAGAUUAGAACUGUAUGAAUCAAAGCGGAGAUUGAUGUUGACAUUGUCAAUCCAAAAAUAAAAAGAAAAUGAAUAUCCAUGGAAAUCUGAGAGACUAGAUCUUAAUCUGUGGAUAAGCUACUAAAAUAUAUGAAUGGAAA